UACGUAGGGUGCAAGCGUUGUCCGGAAUUAUUGGGCGUAAAGAGCUUGUAGGCGGUUUGUCGCGUCUGCUGUGAAAUUUCGGGGCUCAACCCCGAACUUGCAGUGGGUACGGGCAGACUAGAGUGUGGUAGGGGGAGACUGGAAUUCCUGGUGUAGCGGUGAAAUGCGCAGAUAUCAGGGAGGAACACCCGUGGCGAAGGCGGCUCUCUGGUACGUGACUGAC
rnacentral:rRNA from 1 species